rnacentral:rRNA from 1 species
AGCGAACGCUGGCGGCAGGCCUAACACAUGCAAGUCGAACGCCCCUUCGGGGGAGUGGCGGCCGGGUGAGUAACGCGUGGGAAUGUGCCCUUUGGUACGGAACAACUGAGGGAAACUUCAGCUAAUACCGUAUGUGCCCUACGGGGGAAAGAUUUAUCGCCAUUGGAGCAGCCCGCGUUGGAUUAGGUAGUUGGUGGGGUAAUGGCCCACCAAGCCGACGAUCCAUAGCUGGUCUGAGAGGAUGAUCAGCCACACUGGGACUGAGACACGGCCCAGACUCCUACGGGAGGCAGCAGUGGGGAAUCUUGCGCAAUGGGCGAAAGCCUGACGCAGCCAUGCCGCGUGAAUGAUGAAGGUCUUAGGAUUGUAAAAUUCUUUCACCGGGGAAGAUAAUGACGGUACCCGGAGAAGAAGCCCCGGCUAACUUCGUG